rfam:Dipodomys ordii contig_85231, whole genome shotgun sequence.
GGUGGCUCAGUGGUAGAGCGCAUGCCUUGCAUGCAUGAGGCCCUGGGUUCCAUUCCUCAGCACCA